UUACGGCCAUAUCACGUUGAAACACCGGUUCGUGUACGAUCACUGAAGUUAAGCAACGUUGAACCGGGUCAGGAACUAGAUGGGUGACCACUUGGGAAUACUAGGUGCUGUAA